rnacentral:tRNA from 1 species
GGCGCAAUAGCUGAAUGGUAAAGCACUUGGCUUUCAAACUGAGGAGUUCCUGGUUCAAAUUCUGGUUAAGACA